rnacentral:rRNA from 1 species
GACGGAGGAUGCAAGCGUUAUCCGGAAUGAUUGGGCGUAAAGCGUCCGCAGGUGGCAGUUCAAGUCUGCUGUCAAAGACCGGGGCUUAACUUCGGAAAGGCAGUGGAAACUGAACAGCUAGAGUAUGGUAGGGGCAGAGGGAAUUCCUGGUGUAGCGGUGAAAUGCGCAGAUAUCAGGAGGAACACCGGUGGCGAAGGCGGUGGUCUGGGCCGGAACUGACGCUGAGGAGCGAAAGCGUGGGGAGCGAACAGG